rnacentral:rRNA from 1 species
UCUAAAUGAAUCAAAACUUUCAACAACGGAUCUCUUGGUUCUGGCAUCGAUGAAGAACGCAGCGAAAUGCGAUAAGUAAUGUGAAUUGCAGAAUUCAGUGAAUCAUCGAAUCUUUGAACGCACAUUGCGCCCUCUGGCAUUCCAGAGGGCAUGCCUGUUCGAGCGUCAUUUCAACCCUCAA